GUAAGUUAUUGCCAGGGUUUUUAUUUUUAUAUUUUAAAUCUUGAUUUUAUUUUAUGUUUUUUAAAUAUUAGUGUUUUUUAAUGUAUUAUUUAAUUAACAUAAAAAAUAAAAUAUAUAUAUUGACACGGAUUAAACAAAGAUAUAUAUUAUUUUAUGUUGCAUAAACAAAUUGGCAAAAUAGAGAUGGAAGAUAAAAAUAUGGUCAAAGUAAUAAGAGUC
rnacentral:misc_RNA from 1 species